AGUGAACGCUGGCGGUAGGCCUAACACAUGCAAGUCGAACGGCAGCACAGUAAGAGCUUGCUCUUACGGGUGGCGAGUGGCGGACGGGUGAGGAAUACAUCGGAAUCUACUUUUUCGUGGGGGAUAACGUAGGGAAACUUACGCUAAUACCGCAUACGACCUACGGGUGAAAGCAGGGGAUCUUCGUACCUUUCGCGAUUGAAUGAGCCGAUGUCGGAUUAGCUAGUUGGCGGGGUAAAGGCCCACCAAGGCGACGAUCCGUAGCUGGUCUGAGAGGAUGAUCAGCCACACUGGAACUGAGACACGGUCCAGACUACUACGGGAGGCAGCAGUGGGGAAUAUUGGACAAUGGGGGAAAGCCUGAUCCAGCCAUACCGCGUGGGUGAAGAAGGCCUUAGGGUUGUAAAGCCCUUUUGUUGGGAAAGAAAAGCAGCAGGUUAAUACCCCGCUGUUCUGACGGUACCCAAAGAAUAAGCACCGGCUAACUUCGUG
rnacentral:rRNA from 1 species